CAAGAAAAAUGGCAGGCAGCUAACAGUGACGGGGAUGAAACGGUUGAAAGGGCACCUUCCGAGAAUCUGUGCUGUUCCCAGUACUGAGACAAACAUCGAAUGCUGCCGGAAGAUCAUCAACUCAGUGAAAGGACACACAGCCUGAAAUCUGUGCUCUCCCAGUGCAAAGAAUGUUGUUAACUGGUACAUCCCAAGAUACACAAGUACCUGCUGCGGGGCACACUGACCUCAGUGCAAGCCACCAUAUGGGCUCUGUGAAGAAAGACCACAGGAUAGGGUGACAGUGUCUUCCCACAGCUGUACAUCGAGGGUCUGCACCCUGUGUAAUAACUUCUCAAACUUAUCACUGACACAAUGUUUGGGACUGAAAAUUUUCAGACAUGUUGACGCAUUGUAAAUAUUGUAAGCAAGUGUGUUGAUAUGCUUGGUACAGUGAAUAAAGACAAUGCUGUACUCCCAAUUGUAUAACUAUAUAUUUUAGGAAUAAAGUAUAGGGUAAAUGGA